rnacentral:misc_RNA from 1 species
GAUGGAACGCAGCGAAAUGCGAUACGUAAUGUGAAUUGCAAAUUCAGUGAAUCAUCGAGUCUUUGAACGCACAUUGCGCCCCCUGGUAUUCCGGGGGGCAUGCCUGUCCGAGCGUCAUUGCUGCCCUCAAGCACGGCUUGUGUGUUGGGCCCCGUCCUCCGAUCCCGGGGGACGGGCCCGAAAGGCAGCGGCGGCACCGCGUCCGGUCCUCGAGCGUAUGGGGCUUUGUCACCCGCUCUGUAGGCCCGGCCGGCGCUUGCCGAUCAACCCAAAUUUUUAUCCAGGUUGACCUCGGAUCAGGUAGGGAUACCCGCUGAACUUAAGCAUAUCAAUAAGCGGAGGA